rnacentral:rRNA from 1 species
AUGCCCCGAAUAUCCCGGGCUACACGCGAGCUACAAUGGUUGGUACAAUGGGUAUCUACCCCGAAAGGGGACGGGAAUCUCCUAAACCAAUCUUAGUUCGGAUUGAGGGCUGCAACUCGCCCUCAUGAAGCUGGAAUCCGUAGUAAUCGCGUUUCAACAGAACGCGGUGAAUACGUCCCUGCUCCUU